ACACUUACCUGGUAGGGGAGAUAAUGAUCAAGAAUGUGGUUUUCCCAGGGUGAGGCUCCCCCAUUGCACUCUGGUUUUGCUGAACCCUGAGAUUCCCCAAAUGUAGGAAACUCAACUGUGUAAUUUGUGGUAAUGAGGGACUGCAUUCCUGCUCUCCCCUA